CUUUUUCCAAGCCUGUCUCAGUCUGUACUUGCCCCGUCGCAUCCCACUUUAUUACAAUUUUCACUAUAAGAAGGCAUCAAGUCUUUGCUUUAUUUGUGUAUUACAUAUCCUAAGGUAGGCUCUGUCUUUAUGGAUUAAAGACAUCAUGCAAGUAAAAAUGAAGAAGAAAACAGAGAAAAGAAGGAAGAAAGAAAAGAACAGUAAAGAGGAAGAAAGAAAGCAAGAAAGAAAAAAAUUGUAGAAUGACCCCCUCACAUUAAAAAAGUUUCAGCAAACAUUAUGAUGUCAAUGAGAACUUACAAGUGCUGCUCCUUGGACAGGACUGGGAUCUGAAGGAAGGAGUUUAGAGAGCUCGGUUCCUAUUGGAGUGGCCCAGGGAACCCUGAGGAUCCAUCUCCCAUAACUGGACUUCAAAAAACUAACAGUCCUCAGAACAAGAAUUACUGAAGAAAACAAAAACAAAAAAAAUCCCCUAACAAUCCAAGGCAAAGUCAGACAGGCCAAGUUCUGCUUCUUAACCCUUUGAAUACUAUGCAUUUAAAUACAUGUAUUUUCUCAAAGAAGAAUGUUUGUUCACUGUAGCAGAGAAACAUUCACCUCCACUGUUGUGUAUAGAUAGUGUUUUAAUAUGACUAAAAUCUUUAGAAAUUAUUCUUUUAUCUUUUUGUGAUGUAGAAGUUUUUUGUUUGUUUUUUGAGACAGGGUCUCACCCUGUCACCCACACUGGAGUGUAGAGGCGCCAUCUUGGCUCACUGCAACCUCUGCCUCCCGGCCUGAAGCUAUCCUCCUGCCUCAUCCUCCCGAGUAGCUGGGACUACAGGUGUGCGCAACCAUGCCCAACUAAUUUUGUAAUUUUUUUUGUAGAGACAGGAUUUCACCAUUGUUGCCCAGGCUGAUCUUGAACUUCCCAGCUUACAUGAUCCACCCACCAAAGCCUCCUAAAAUGUUGGGAUUACAGGCAUGAGCCAACACACCCCAUUUAGAAGUAUUUUAAGUUUUAAUUUUAUUUAUUUAAGAGACAGGGUCUUGCUCUGUUGCCCUGCCUGAAGUGCAGUGGGAUGAUCAUAGCUCAUUGUAACCUCGAACUCCUCGGCUCAAGUGAUCCUCCUGCCUCAGCUUUCCUAAUAGCUAGUGCUACAGGCGGGUGCCACCAUACCCUGCUAAUUGUUUUAUUUUAUUUUUUGAAAAGAUAGGGUCUCGCUAUGUUGCCCAAGCUUGUCUCAAACUCCUAGCCUCAAGUGGUUCUCCUGCCUUGGCCUCCCAAAGCAUUGGGAUUACAAGCAUAAACCACUGCAUCUGGCCAGAAGUUAUUAAAAAAAAAAAAUCUGACUAAACAGGGCUCACAGUUGAACAACUUUCAGUCAUCUGGACUUGUCCCAAAUAACAUUCAGUCUUAGAAAAAUAAGAGCAGAAAGAUUUUAAGUCACUUGCUUAAGCACCCAAGCUGCUUCCUGUCAGAAGCCAGGGGCAUCUUUUGCCCUGUUUGCGUGUGUGUUUGCUCUUUUUAAGGUGAGAGCAGCCAUUAGGAAGUCUUUCCUCAAGCCAGUAUUACAUCAGGGCUGCAGUAUAAAUCAGGUAAACUCAACAUGGUUUUUGGCAGAGUUUUUUUUUUUUUGCACCUAGGGAAAGAAGUGAAGGCCAGGAUUUUUGUAUAGUUCAACUCUUUGUGUUGUCCCCAGAUACAUCCUCCUUUCCUCCCUCCCUAGUAGCUAACUUUUCCAUUUUGUAAAGCAUGUGUUUCUUGGCAACAGACUCCUUUCCUGAUUUAAGAGUUAGAGCAUGCAACCCACGUCAGGCCAAUGAAUGCAUUUUCUCUACCAACCUCAGUGAAUCCAGAGGGGCCCUGUGACCAAAGCUGCUCCCAUCAGAGGAAUAUCAGGACUCAUUAGCAAUACUGAAAUAAUGCUUUUUUCCUUCUUGGCUGUGAGAAGCACAUAGCUCCAGGAAGUUGGUGCUGUCAUUUGAGCACCACGGUAGGAGUCAUCUUUAGGAUGAAGUGAUAGCCCGGAAGGCAGAGCAAAGAAAAAGAAAGAACUAGACACUUGGUGACAAUGUUGGGUGGCUGGAUCAAGCCUCAUUUGAUACUUCUGGAUUUUUCACCUACAGAAGGCCUUAUAUCCCUUUUUAUUGUUUAAAUCAUUUGGAAUUGUGUUUUCUUUAAGUGCAGUUGAAUGAAUUCCAACUGAGAGAGGAAUAAUGGGAGAGCAGAGUGAUUAUAGGAUAAAGGUGGGGCCUGGGAGCCAACUGUCGAUUUAACAUGAACCUGAGAGUAACCGGGCAUAUCUCCUCCACCCGGGGGCAGAUAUCCUAAACCCUUACUCUCAGAGAUCAACACGGAGUCUCUGAAAUCUUUACCCUCAUAAAAAUGAGGGUAAAUAUUUCUUUGUUUUUGUUAUAUUGAGAUGAUUAAAUCUAAUAUUUUUGUGGGAAAGAGAGAUACCUCAGUUCACUGGUGUGGUAUGUCUGCACAAGUGCUGAUGGAGAAGGCAUGGUUAGCUGGCGAAAAUAUAUGCCAUUGGCCUCCUUCCUCACAGCAUGAAUGCGUGAAAUCUCAACGGGCAGCAGAGAAGAAGUAUAGAAGGCAACUGCCUUGGCCAGAGGUUUCAGGUCAACCACUCGGGGAUCUGAAUUACACUGCAGAGUUGAGUAGAAAUUAGUGUGUGGAAUAAAAAUGUUUAAAAGUUAUAUUUAAAGAUAAAUAGUUAUCUUAAAAACUCUCUGACUGGAGAGGUUUUUAAAAAGACAAGGGUUAAAACGUCACGGCCUGUGUCAGGUAUCUAAAACAAUGUCUUCUCCCCUUUUCUGAGGGAAGGGUCUGCCAUGGUGAUUUAAGCAGAGAGAAAGCAGGGACCUGUGGCCUGAGAGGAGCCUGAGAAAUGACGGGGAGCAUUCCUAGGGAUGCAGAAAUGCAGAACGCAAUGCCUUCGUCGACGUCUCUGAAACCUGGUGGGAUCGAGUUCAUAACCAGUAUGGGAGCAGUCCUACCAGGGCAUUAGAAUUCAAGAGAGCUAAUUUGGGGGAAUUAAAAAAAAAAAUCUAGUGAGUAUGGUAUUGAAGUAGGGAAUACUAAAGCCCAGGAGAAGGGCAGGCUGCUGGAAUAUCCACCAUAAUUAAAGCAGAUUACAAUUGCUCUGAGAAAAGAGGGACGCAAAGAGUUAGAAUAUCCAGUGCGCCCGUCGAGACUGAUGGGACGGAGGCUCUGUAAUGGCAGUGAGGAAAUUGGGAGGGAACCCUACAGAAAUUUUUCAUAAUACCUAUUCUUUUUUUUUUUUAAAGAGGAAAUGAUAAUUAUGACAAAAACCAGAAUGGAAAAGCUGAAUAAAGUAGCUACGUGAAAGGAGAGGCAUUUGUGUCUCAUAUGGGGGAGCAAAGCAAGCAAGGCCACUAAUACAAAUCAGAAUAUUUGCAGCAAUAAUCUGUUUUUAAACUCUUUUAAAAUGAGCGGCAGGGAAAAAAAAGGAAACUUAGAAAAAAAAUACUGACACCUCUGUUAAAGUCACAAAGCAGAAAAAAAUAAUUUUGAGCAGGUACACUGACAUAUUUGGAAAUCAACAGAUCUACAUGACAGACACAGGGUAGCUGUUAAAGAAGACAGAUGACAAAUUUAGACCCAACAAUUUUUUUCUCUCCCUUCGGAGUGGGAAAGGGAGUGUGGAGUUGAAUCUGUUUGAUACUUUUCCUUCCUUUUAAUUCUAUUUUUUUUAAAGGAACUACAUCAGAAAGUUACCAGUACAUUCUAUAGUAAUUAAAAUAAAGUAAAGCAAAACAGACUCAUUGAGCCAUAAAUGAAAACUGAGGAAUGUUAACAAGCAAGCGGAAGUGUGAUAUGUGAAAAGAAGGUAGUGGCUAUUAACAGGACUACAGAAAUAAACCUGGAAAAUAUCCCUUGAAAAGCCUGACGAUACCACUUUAAUAAAAUUAAAAAUUGUCCGACUCUAUUUGACACAUCUGUGAGCAUGACAGCAGCACCACUCACAGAAAUAGCUGUACAGCAGAUAGUCCUGGGCAGGUCCACCGGAUGGCCUGUGAAUUAAGUAUAUAUGUCAAUCAGCUGGCAUCUCAUAUUUAUGGAACAUUCAUGAUGUGCAGAGCAUUAGUUAACCCUUAUGGGCAAUUUCUACCUCCAAGAAGUAUGAGGCUACUUGAAAACAAAGUAACACAUGUAUAAAAAUAGUUACUAGCAUAAAGCAGUAUAGGCUUACUGCACAUUAGGCUCAGGAGAACGCAGCACAGCUGGGACCUGAGUUUAGAAUUCAGAUACAGAAGACUACACAAUUCUAGGCCAGAGUAGAAAGGCAGAAUUAUCCAACAUUAUUUUUUUAAAGGUGGAGUUAGGAGAGGGCAAUUAAGUUUAUCAGUCUACUUGGAGUAGAAGAAUUCAAAAGUGGGAACUGAGAUUUCACCAAAAAUAAGAAAUUAAUUGAGAAUGGAUUAUAAACCUGAAAGUGAAAUGCAAAAUAAUAAAACAUCUAGAAGAAAACAUAAGAAAACAUUGACAUAUUGCCAUGAUCUUGGGGAAAGAUUUUUUAAACAAGAUACAAUAAAGCACUAAACAUAAAACAUACAUUAAUUGAACUACAUUAAAAUUAAGAACUUCUCAAUCAAAAGCAGCCAUUAAGACAGUAAAAAAGCAAGCCAUAGACUGAGAGAAUGUAUUUGCUAUCUAGCUACAUAUCUACACAUAUACAUGUCAUAUAUAUACACAUGUAUUAACACGUCAUAUAUAUACACAUAUCUACAUAUCUACACAUAUACAUGUCAUAUAUAUACACAUGUAUUUUUAUAUAUGUACAUGUAUUUGGAAAUGUAUGUAAAAUAUCUGGCAAAUAACUUAUAUAUAGAAUAUAUAAAAAGCUUCCAUUAAAAAAAAGAAAAAGAAAGUUGCCAAAUUAAAAAAAAAUGGGCAAAAGACUUGAACAAGUACUUCAUAAAAAAUGACAUCCAAGUGGCUAAUAAGCAUGGGAAAAGGUGAUCAAUGCAAUUAGCAGAAAAAUGAAAAUUAAAAUCAUAAUGAGAUGUUACUACACACCUACUGAUAUGGGAGGUGGGCAGGGAAGUGCUGGGUAGAAAGAGGCAGUUCCCUGGCUAGGGCUCCACUCCCAUGGACCUAGGUGAGGACAGGCACUCCUGCUUUCACACCCAAAUGUUGCAUUUUCCAAGACCAUCCUGGCCUACCACACCCCUAUCCUAUGUCUAUAAAAACCCGAGACCUGGCCGGGCGCGGUGACUCAUGCCUGUAAUCCCAGCACUUUGGGAGGCCAAGGCAGGUGGAUCACGAGGUCAAGAGAUUGAGACCAUCCUGGCCAACAUGGUGAAACCCCGUUUCUACUAAAAAUUAGUGGGGCAUGGUGGUGCGGCCUGUGAUCCCAGCUACUUGGGAGGCUGAGGGGGGAGAAUUGCUUGAACCUGGGAGACGGAGGUUGCAGUGAGCCGAGAUCCUGCCACUGCACUCCAGCCUGGCGACAGAGCGAGACUCCAUCAAAAAACAAACAAACAAACAAAAAAAAACCUGAGCCCCUAGCAGGCAGACACACAGGCAGCCACAGGGCAAGAGGAGUACAUCAGUGGAAGAAGACACAAGCAGCUCGUUGGCGAGAGGAUGAUGUAGGAGCACACUGGCAGAAGAGCACGCCACAGGUGCCAGGCGCAGGCAGGCCAUCGACUGACGGGAGGAGGCGGAGUUUGGCCUGAGCAAUCGGAGGAGAGCCUGGGCACUGAGCAGUGCAACUCCAGGGAAAAGACCAUCUCCCUUCUGUCUCCCCCAUCAGCAAGGAUUAUUUCCACUCAAUUAAACUUUGCACUCAUUCUCCAAGCCCAUGUGUGAUACGAUUCUUCCAGUACACCAAGGCAGGAACCCAGGAUAUAGAAAGCCCUCUGUCCUUGAGACGAGGUAAUGGGUCUAAUUGAGCUGGUUAACACAAGCUGCCUAUAGAUGGCAAACUAAGAGAGUACCCUGUAACACAUGCCCACUGGGCUUCACCUGUAAACAUUCACCCCUAGACAUUGCUGCCAGGUUGGAGCCCCACAGCCUCCCUGUCUGUAUGCUCCGCUAGAGGUCUGAGUAGCAGGGCACUGAAGAAGCAAGCCACACCCCCAUCACAUGCCCUGCAAGGGGGACAAGGGAACCUUUCCUGUUUCACUACCAGAAUGGUGAAAAUUGAAAGGACUUACAAUACCAAGUGUUGGCAAAGAUGUGGAACAAAUGGAAUUCUAUGUAUUACUUGCUGGUUGGAGUAAAAAUUUCUUAAACUCCUUUGGAAACUAUUUGGUAGCUUCUAUAAAGCCAAACAUUUAUACACUCUACCAGAAAUUCUACUUCUAGGAAUACACCCAACAGAAAUGAGUGCUUAUGUUCACACACACACACACACACAAUGUGUACAGAAAUAUUCAUAGCAGUUUUUUUAUAGUGCCCCCCAAAGAGGAAACCAUUUGUUCAUAAAUUAAAAAAUAUAAGUAAAUUAUGAUAUAUACAAAAGAUAGAGCACUGUGAGUAUUGAAAAAGAACAGCUCUACAUAAUGGUAUCUUAUUAUGCCCAGUGAAUAACGGAAGCCAGGCAUAAGGGUACAUGUUGCAUAACUGCAUUCAUAUGAAAUUGAAAACAGGAAAAACCAAUCCAUGUUGAUUAUGGUUAGAAUAGUGGUCACCUUUGGGAGUAUAGUCUGAAAGGGGAAUGAGAGCUUUCUGGGGGAUUGGUAAUGUUGCGUAACUUGGAUUCAGUAAUGGUUUCUUGGGUGACUGCAUAUGUAAAACAUUUACUAAUCUUUACACUUAAGAUUUGUCCCCUUAAUUGUAUGUAAUUCACACCUCAAUUUAAAUGGAGGUAUCAGAAAAAACAAUUGAAGAGGACAUUAAAAGAGAAAAAAUAUAAAUAUUUAUUCUUUCUUACCUCCCUUCAGGAUUUAGGAGUCAGAUUAUGGAGAGUAUCUAAUCACAGGAUGAGGAAGCUGAUUCUGUUUUGUUGGCAAUAAUAAGCUGUUGCAAACUUUUUGGGCAAAGUUGAUAUUUUAGGAAGAUUAACUUUAUAUACAAAUAUGGAGAAAAUAUUGGAAAAGAGAGAGAAUGAAAGGGAACAAAGAAAGUCAUUAAGAAGCAGUUAUCGGCCGGGCGUGGUGGCUCACACCUGUAAUCCCAGCACCUUGGGUGGAUC
rnacentral:lncRNA from 10 species